rnacentral:lncRNA from 1 species
GGGUGGAGAUUUAAACAUGGGAUCUCUUGUCCACACGUACAUAUAUGUGCCAGUUGAGUUAAGCUCACGUUAGCCAGCUUCUACAGCUUCUACAAAUUGUAAAUUCCUAAAUUACAAACUUUCAAUUCAACUCAAUAAAGUUGAACACAACAACUAAUUUAAUUUUGAUAAGGUCAAUUAUUUCAAUCUAAAUAUAAUUACAACGUUAACUUUUUAAAAGUAAUAUUGUAUUAUUGAUGAAUAGAAAGUAAUAAUUACAAAAAAAAAAAAUA